GGGAUAACAGUUGGAAACGGCUGCUAAUACCGCAUAAGCGCACAGCAUCGCAUGAUGCAGUGUGAAAAACUCCGGUGGUAUAAGAUGGACCCGCGUUGGAUUAGCUAGUUGGUGAGGUAACGGCCCACCAAGGCGACGAUCCAUAGCCGACCUGAGAGGGUGACCGGCCACAUUGGGACUGAGACACGGCCCAAACUCCUACGGGAGGCAGCAGUGGGGAAUAUUGCACAAUGGGCGAAAGCCUGAUGCAGCGACGCCGCGUGAGCGAAGAAGUAUUUCGGUAUGUAAAGCUCUAUCAGCAGGGAAGAUAAUGACGGUACCUGACUAAGAAGCACCGGCUAAAUACGUGCCAGCAGCCGCGGUAAUACGUAUGGUGCAAGCGUUAUCCGGAUUUACUGGGUGUAAAGGGAGCGCAGGCGGUGCGGCAAGUCUGAUGUGAAAGCCCGGGGCUCAACCCCGGUACUGCAUUGGAAACUGUCGUACUAGAGUGUCGGAGGGGUAAGCGGAAUUCCUAGUGUAGCGGUGAAAUGCGUAGAUAUUAGGAGGAACACCAGUGGCGAAGGCGGCUUACUGGACGAUAACUGACGCUGAGGCUCGAAAGCGUGGGGAGCAAACAGGAUUAGAUACCCUGGUAGUCCACGCCGUAAACGACGAAAAUGAGGUGUUGGGAAGCAUUGCUUCUCGGUGCCGUCG
rnacentral:rRNA from 1 species